UUAGUGGCAGACGGGUGAGUAACAUGUAGGUAUCUUCCCUUUGGCCUGGAAUAACACGAGGAAACUUGUGCUAAUACUGGAUAAGUCUUUACGGAGAAAGCUUUAUGCACCAUUGGAUGAGCCUGCACUUGAUUAGUUUGUUGGUAGGGUAAUGGCCUACCAAGACUGUGAUCAAUAGCUGAUUUGAGAGGAUGAUCAGCCACAUUGGGACUGAGACACGGCCCAAACUCCUACGGGAGGCAGCAGUGGGGAAUCUUGCACAAUGGAGGAAACUCUGAUGCAGCGAUGCCGCGUGAGUGAAGAAGGCCCUUGGGUUGUAAAGCUCUUUCGUCGGGGAAGAAAAUGACUGUACCCGAAUAAGAAGGUCCGGCUAACUUCGUGCCAGCAGCCGCGGUAAUACGAAGGGACCUAGCGUAGUUCGGAAUUACUGGGCUUAAAGAGUUCGUAGGUGGUUGAAAUAGUUGGUGGUGAAAUCCCAGAGCUUAACUCUGGAACUGCCAUCAAAACUUUUCAGCUAGAGUUUGAUAGAGGAAAGCAGAAUUUCUAGUGUAGAGGUGAAAUUCGUAGAUAUUAGAAAGAAUACCAAUUGCGAAGGCAGCUUUCUGGAUCAUUACUGACACUGAGGAACGAAAGCAUGGGUAGCGAAGAGGAUUAGAUACCCUCGUAGUCCAUGCCGUAAACGAUGUGUGUUAGACGUUGGAAAUUUAUUUUCAGUGUCGCAGCGAAAGCGAUAA
rnacentral:rRNA from 1 species